UUAAUUAAAACCAAAAAGAGGUAUAUCACCGUUAAUGAUACCACUGAACCUAAAUUCUAAUUAAA
rnacentral:tRNA from 1 species